rnacentral:rRNA from 1 species
GAUGAACGCUGGCGGCGUGCCUAAUACAUGCAAGUCGAGCGAACAGAUGAGAAGCUUGCUUCUCUGAUGUUAGCGGCGGACGGGUGAGUAACACGUGGGUAACCUACCUAUAAGACUGGGAUAACUCCGGGAAACCGGGGCUAAUACCGCAUAAUAUCUUCUUCCGCAUGGAAGACGAUUGAAAGACGGCUCUGCUGUCACUUAUAGAUGACCUUGCGGUGCAUUAGUUAGUUGGUGGGGUAAUGGCCUACCAAGACGAUGAUGCAUAGCCGACCUGAGAGGUUGAUCGGCCACAUUGGGACUGAGACACGGCCCAAACUCCUACGGGAGGCAGCAGUAGGGAAUCUUCCGCAAUGGGCGAAAGCCUGACGGAGCAAUGCCGCGUGAGUGAAGAAGGCCUUCGGGUCGUAAAACUCUGUUAUAAGAGAAGAACAAAUUGUAGAGUAACUGCUACAGUCUUGACGGUAUCUUAUCAGAAAGCCACGGCUAACUACGUGCCAGCCGCCGCCGUAA